rnacentral:rRNA from 1 species
UACAGAGGGUGCAAGCGUUAAUCGGAAUUACUGGGCGUAAAGCGUGCGCAGAUGGUUGCGUAAGUCAGAUGUGAAAUUCCUGGGCUUAACCUGGGGGCUGCAUUUGAUACGUGCAGACUUGAGUGAGGAAGAGGGUUGUGGAAUUCCCAGUGUAGAGGUGAAAUUCGUAGAUAUUGGGAAGAACACCGGUGGCGAAGGCGGCAACCUGGUCCUUGACUGACGCUGAGGCGCGAAAGCGUGGGGAGCAAACAGG